UACGUAGGGGGCAAGCGUUGUCCGGAUUUAUUGGGCGUAAAGAGCGUGUAGGCGGCCAUACAGGUCCGUUGUGAAAACUGGAGGCUCAACCUCCAGACGUCGACGGAAACCGUAUGGCUAGAGUCCGGAAGAGGAGAGUGGAAUUCCUGGUGUAGCGGUGAAAUGCGCAGAUAUCAGGAAGAACACCCGUGGCGAAGGCGGCUCUCUGGGACGGUACUGACGCUGAGACGCGAAAGCGUGGGGAGCGAGCAGG
rnacentral:rRNA from 1 species